rnacentral:rRNA from 1 species
UACGGAGGGUGCAAGCGUUAUCCGGAUUCACUGGGUUUAAAGGGUGCGUAGGUGGGCAGGUAAGUCAGUGGUGAAAUCCCCGAGCUUAACUUGGGAACUGCCAUUGAUACUAUUUGUCUUGAAUACUGUGGAGGUUAGCGGAAUAUGUCGUGUAGCGGUGAAAUGCUUAGAUAUGACAUAGAACACCAAUUGCGAAGGCAGCUGGCUACACAAAUAUUGACACUGAUGCACGAAAGCGUGGGGAUCAAACAGG